rnacentral:rRNA from 1 species
CGGGACGGGUGAGUAACGCGUGGAAAACCUGCCGUAUACUGGGGGAUAACACUUAGAAAUAGGUGCUAAUACCGCAUAAGCGCACAGCUUCGCAUGAAGCGGUGUGAAAAACUCUGGUGGUAUACGAUGGUUCCGCGUCUGAUUAGCUAGUUGGUGGGGUAAUGGCCUACCAAGGCAACGAUCAGUAGCCGGCCUGAGAGGGUGAACGGCCACAUUGGGACUGAGACACAGCCCAAACUCCUACGGGAGGCAGCAG